GGGGAAUUUUGGACAAUGGGCGCAAGCCUGAUCCAGCCAUGCCGCGUGCGGGAAGAAGGCCUUCGGGUUGUAAACCGCUUUUGUCAGGGAAGAAAUCUUCUGAGCUAACACCUCGGGAGGAUGACGGUACCUGAAGAAUAAGCACCGGCUAACUACGUGCCAGCAGCCGCGGUAAUACGUAGGGUGCAAGCGUUAAUCGGAAUUACUGGGCGUAAAGCGUGCGCAGGCGGUCUUGCAAGACAGGUGUGAAAUCCCCGGGCUUACCCUGGGAACUGCACUUGUGACUGCAAGGCUGGAGUACGGCAGAGGGGGAUGGAAUUCCGCGUGUAGCAGUGAAAUGCGUAGGUAUGCGGAGGAACACCGAUGGCGAAGGCAAUCCCCUGGGCCUGUACUGACGCUCAUGCACGAAAGCGUGGGGAGCAAAC
rnacentral:rRNA from 1 species